rnacentral:lncRNA from 1 species
CUUCAGGUCAUCCUAGAUCGCUAACAAUCCUAAAACGUCAUCCUUGAUCGUCGAAUCAAGCAAUGAAUAACAUCUUGCAGAAAUGAGGUCAAAAAGAGAUAAAAGUAAAUUGUAAUUGGACCGAUCGUGUCUAUUGGACACUUCAAUCGGCCGUGCUCUUUAUAUUCUCCUACAACUAAAAAGACUAAAGAGUGGACAACUUUUGGUGCGACAUUCUCCCCUCUCGCUUUCGUCCUGCCUCCUGCGAACACGCCCCGCGCGGAUUCGUCCUGCCCCCCGCUCCCUUCCAUCCGGCUCCCCUUCCAUCCCCGCCUCGCUCCCCUUCCAUCCCCGCCCCGCUCCACUUCCAUCCUUGCGCCCCGCUCGCCAGGUCGCCCGUGCUCGCACCCCCGAUCAUCCGGCUCCCCUUCCAUCCCCGCCGUCAUAUCGAUCCCUGCUGCCCCUGCACCAACGCCGAGUCACGCAGCGAGGAUCCCCGCCGCCAAUCGUGGUUGUGGAGGCAGGCCAGGCAGCAGCGAGAUCCAGCAGGGCGCUCGGCCCUCCCCGAUCCGAGCGACCGCACGGCAAACCCAGCCCGCCGCCAUCCUGGUCUUCGAGGUCGUGCUCUCCCUCCCCAGGCCAGGACAUGAUCGCUCAAGCCUCGAGGCAGGCGGUGUGAGGCCAAGGGCGGUGGCACCUCACCAGCAAGCGCCACCUCCUCCCACAGAUCCGUCGACACCUUCAACCCCUACGCCCGUAAACCUACCACCCCCGCCUCCUUGUUUCUCUGUCCAUCACUAGGGUUUGCGUUGCUCAGGGUGCACAACAUGGAUUGAUCUGCUCUCCCCAGUCAUGCCGAUCUGUGGUAGAAUCUUACACUCUCGGAUCAUUAACUUGUUGAGAAUGUUGAUGAAGAUAUGGUCUUCCUACAAUCUCUGAUUGAACAUUCUGAAGCCUGCUAUAACCAUUUUUCACUUUUGCAUUGCUACCUUGUUUAGUUCUUAAUAACCCAGCUUCACUAUUUUUUGAUGCAUCCUAUAUAGUUUGGGUUUUUCUUUAUGUAUCAACACCUAGGUUAGUACCUAAAGUCAGAAAAUGAAUACAGUGGAAGGUGGAACCAAUACAUGUUACAGAUACAUGUGUACUGCACGGGUUGCUAUUUACUUAUUUAUUUAAUAGCACAAUACGUGUGUACAAGUGAAUGGGAAUAUUGAUAUCGAUUUUGGUUUAGAAUAUUGGUUUAGUAGAACAACUGUCUUUAAGCAUUCAAAACCUGAAAAGGUAGGCCAAUUUUAAAGAUAUGAAUAGCUAAAGAGGUGAGUUUUGAUAUUUGGGAAAUUUACAGACCAAGCAUGAAAAUCAGACUAAUUUCUUUAGUAACAGGUUAACACAUCUGGUUGUGGUACAUGCAAUCGUUGUUAUUCCCUUAUGAUAUAAACUUUUGCUUGCAAAAUAGAGUCUGACAGUAUGCUUUGAUUCUACAGAUAUUUCUGAGAAUUGCGUAACUGCAUAAUCUUAAUAGGGAGUUCCAUUUUGGGGUAUCACCACAAAUUAUUUGGAAGAGGGGUUCAGUCGAAGAACUUAGGUUAUACUUCGACAAAGAAUAGAAGGUGAGUUCCCAUCUUGUUUUUUUCCUUGAACAACUCCUAGCAAUUUGUUGCUAUGAAAUAUUAUGGCCAUGAGUAGAACCAUUGUUGUGCACACAAGUUACCAUCAAAGCAGAUAUGUUAAUAUUGUUAUUCCUACAAGAUCAAAAUUUUGUUUGCUAAAAUUUGGAUGGAUCUGAAAAUUUUUAUGUCCAAUGUAUAUGUGCUGAACGACCCUCUAGGCGAUGAUAAAUUAUAAAUAUGAUUCAUGAAACCUAUUUAAAGGACUAUACUUCAGUUAUAUCGGCUUCACAAAGUUUGGUUAUCUCCUACAACUAAAAAGAAAGAAAGUAAGACCAUCAUUUUGUGCGACAAUUGUAGCUCCGUCGGUCCACUUCACCCCCUGCGACCUCCGUGAUUCUACCACACCCUAGCCAGGUACCACAUCCAGAGAACCAGGUACAUUGUGUACCUUGUUCGCACCAUUGUAGCCUGAACCCUGCCCCGCCAGGCCGACCAUAACAGGUAUUACCUCAUUGACCAGUAGCUCAUAACAGCCUGGACUGGGACAAGGAUUUAUUUUUCUUCAGACUAUAUGGUCUGUCAUAGUGUAGUGUACAUGGUCUGGCAAUAAGGAAUAUAAUUAUUUGCUAGGAUGGAUGCCGAGUUGUUUACAUGUGUGCGGGCUGUCUGUUUUCUGGUUAUGACAAGGCUUAUAUGCAGACAUGUGUUCUUUUGGUGGUUUUCUUGAGGUGUUGAAUUGAUAAAAUAUGAUUUGAGGUGUCUUCAUGCAUCAACCAGUCCCUAAAUUUCCCAUUGCUAAUAAGAAACAAAACACCUAAACACAGAUCAUGCAUUGGAUUCAAAAUACUUGUUCAUACUUGCGGCCAAGCCUUUGGUCUGUGGUUUAAUUAAUCACUCUAUAAUUUAGUGAUUUAAUAUAUGCAAAAUAUAUUCUGCUGCCACUACUUUUCAUAAGGUAUUCCCCAUGUCCAAUUACACAAAUGGAUGUACGAGUGGCACAAACUUCUUGAAUAGACAGGAAAUAGAAGAACAACACUAGAAAAUUUUGUCUCACUUGCCUUGUUCUCAUGAUGAGUUUGUAUUGGAAGUUAUAUAUUUGUUUCUUCAGAUGCAGUAAGUAUGUUUUCAAGUAAUUUAGUGUCAUUGUUUUUUACAAGUUGGCUUGAAAGAACUUUCUGGCUACAUUUUGGGCACUGUGUAAUUUUGUGCCACCAGCAUUGGCCUAUUUAGUAAUCUCUGGUGUUAGAGACCAUGGUCAAAAUUUGACUUGUGAUCUGCUAGGUUAUAGACCAAAUUCAUAAAUUCAAGGAUCUGAGAUUUCAGAAAAGAAAUUAAAGGAUGUGCAGGACUUCUGAUCCUCUGUGCCAUUAUUUGAGAAUUCUUGUGUGAUUAUCUGAGAAUAUAGUUAUAAAGUUAUAAUGAUUCUUGUGAUCUGCUAUUAUUAAGUCUACUUAUAGGCCAGCUGAAAAGAAUUAUAGUUGCUUUUGACCAAGUCAUUCUGGGAUCUAUUUUUUUCUUAAUAGUUACUAAAAAUGACUUGAAGUUAAGUGCUAAUAAAUCAUUUUAUUACCAAUUGCUUAGUUGAGGAAAACAUUUACUUACAAAAAUCUGAGCUAAAGUUGGGCAUUUGUGAUUUUAGUGAUCCUUUUAAACCAUCAUAUACUUUAUCUUAAUGACUGAAGUCAAACCGUGCUGCGGCUCCUUCGAACCGGACACCAACAGUAACGAGCUACAACAUUGACAGAUCAUUCUUAUGACUCCGAAGGUGGUCUCUGGUUUUAAAUUCAAAUUCAUAUAUAUCUUAUCCCUUAAUUUAAUUAUUUUUGAGAAACAAAUGGAUUUAAAAAUAUGACAGCAGACAAAAGACAUUACAUAUUUGACUGGGCUAUGGAGAUUUUCUUCCUGCCACCAUAUGAAUUGUGAAUCUUUUCGUAUCAUUUUUUGUGUAGUGUGUACUGCUUGUGCAGGCCAUGAUUUUUGGCCUGACGCUCGACCCAAACCUGGUAUUUCACGUUUUGGUUUUUGGAGGAUUGGAGCUACCUCUAUACAACGAUGCUCUGAUUAGAGUUCUUAAGGUGCACAAGCUCAAUAGGCUGGGAGGCUGGAGGUGUCACAUAUUACUGUAACAAUCUCCACUAUAGGGAAUUUAGUACAGCGAUGCACACUGCAAGCUGAUAUAAUCAGGCUACCUGCCAUUCAUACAUAUUGAAUUGGGUUGUCAUUCUCGGAGUAGGAGCGUUGUAAACUGGCUUGCCAUGUUUGAUAUCAUUUGUACCAAAGAAAUAAGAAAAUGACAUAUUGAGAUCUCAACAUAAUUAUCAAGCUCUGUUGAGCAUACUGCUAUUGCGAUCAUAUCUGAGUAUGCUACUGCUGUCAGCAUGAUGUUUUUCUAUUCAUCACUGAGAUCAUGUCAUGUUCAAAUUUUGUCACCCUCCAUAGGAUUUUUCUUUUGUGAUCGUGUCUCAGGGAACAUGAUAUUUGUUAUCUACCUGGCUCCUUGUGAAUUUCUACCUAUUAUGGAGUAAUUAAUCCUGUGCUUAUGUCUUUGGUUGUUGCUACACUUUUCUAAUUCAUUGUUUGUACUUUGCAGGAUGAAACCUAGAAGGCUAAAUAAUUUUGUUGAUAUUUGCCGAACAGAACACUCUAUUUGAUCAUGAUCUCUACAUAUGAUUUGCAUUGUUUCUUUUGUCGACAAUAGCAUGGCCAUUAUAUUAUGUGAGCCAGCGCGUUUAACACUGUCAUCACUGCAGAGAAACUAGAACAUUGGUGCUGCUCAGGAGAAUCGUCAGGACACUCUUAUCGUCAAGAAGUUUGCCUCUCACAAUUGUCUUGAGUCUUGACGAGGGUGAUCUGAUGGCAGCAUGCUUACAACCUAGAUAGUGCCCCUCAGGCAAUUGCCUCCAUGGAUGGUGUGACCUCUGCAACUAGACAUUUCAUUCUAGAAUCCCCAAUUGUAGUCGGAUUUAUUUAUUUUUCUUGAGAUUUAUUCUUCUCCUUAUUCUCCAGCUAAGGACAAAGUUGAUUUCUAGCUUAGAGGUUUUCAUUUCUCCUAUGUAGAUCGUGGUGCAGACAUGGUGUUAGGGAGGAAGCAGUUGGAGCGAUUUUACCUUCACUGCUGAUUGUUGAAUUCCUACAGUGUUUUUGUUUUGCUUCAUAUUUUAAGAUACACAUCUACACUUCAGUCGACUGAAAUCUUGGAGGCAUUUCAGGCAUCAAGUUUGGGGAGAGGAUAUCCAUGGCCAUUUUCCGUUGCCGGCAACCUUAGUCACCAUAGCUCGGUUAGCCCAUGAUGGUGUAGUUGACAAACACUUAUCAAUUAUAAGUUGUCAGCCGUCUUCUCUUCAGCACUGGUAUGGUAAAAAUACAGCACAUUAAUACUCAAAUUAUUGAGAUAUUGAUUUUUUCAUUGCAACACAAACUUUUUUUUUCUAAUUAUAUAAAAUAGGUGCAUCAUGGAAAGGUAUACGGUAGAGUUUGUGAGCCUAUGACAUUAUGGUCUUCAUGACGGUUAAUUUCACAAACUUUGUCUUCUGGAUUAAAUGUCAUUUUAAUUGUUCGUAUUUAAUUUUAUAGUACUGUUAUUUUAUCAUGCGAUCUAUGUAUUUUUAAUACAAAAGUUUAGAUAUCCCGUAGCAACGCACGGGCACGCUACCUAGUAUAGGCGAGUAAAGUUGAGCAUGCGGCCCGCGGGUCGAAUGCACGGCUCAAAGCACGGUGAUUUAGCCCGGCUCAAGCACGGCACGGCCUGAUCUAACCAGGCCCGGGCCGGUCCGAAGCACGUAACGGGCCAUGCUUGGGCUGACCCCUCGGCCGGCCGGGCGGCACGGCACGGCCUGCUUUUAACAGCGUCACGGUGUCAGCCCGGUAUCAGAAAAUUUGUGAAACUUGAAGUAUCGUUAUGUGACUUGUCAAACUUGUAAUUUUUGACAAGUAAAAUAUGAUCUUUGAGUAUAUUAUGUUAUGUGAAUUAUAAAAUAUUAAUGUCUAUGAAUUGGAUGUGAUUUACUUAUGUUUUUUAAAUUUUGUAUUAAAUUUGGUAUUUUUUAUAUAGCGGGCAUGGGCCGGCCCAAAGCACUAUUGAACCUCGUGCUUUUCGGACUGAUCCGGCCCAAAAAUCGGCCCACGGGCCGUGCCUGGACCGUCAGACAGGCACGAUGGCCUAUGGAGGCAUGGCCCGAUGGCAUGCGGGCCAUACAGGCCCGUGCCCUGUCGGGUCGUGCCUAGCAUGGGCUAUGCCGUGCCAGGCCGGCCCGUUGAUCAUCUUUUUAGGAGAGUAUGGUCUUAUCCCUUGCAAAACGGUCCAAAUACAACUUAGAUUUAAAUUGACUUGUAAAAACCCGCCUGGCUGGUUUUUAUGAGGACACAAAAUCUUUUGAAAAUCGUAAUUAAUGCACAUAUACUUCAAAUGAGGCUAUCAAUAUAUGUUUCUCGAUCAGAUUGAUGAGAUAAAUACAAUAAUACAAUCCCUUUCUUUUAUUUGAGAAAGUUGGAAAACCGCCAAAUCUUUGGGGAUUGGCCAAAGCCGGUUUCAAGCCAACCAAAAAGCUGUUUUUUUUUGUCUACCCACUCUGUCCUGUGAUACAGUGAAUUAUAUGGAUUUUAAGACAACUUAAGAAAAUACUCAAAUAAUACAUGUACACAUAGAUUAUUCUAAUUAUAGAGUUUCUUCUCAAAUCUAGGCUUCCUUUUUAACAAAGCUUGUCAAAUCGAAACAUAGUCAUUACAUAAAAUACAUUAUAUUUUAAUACAAAUUUUAGAAGUCACAAUGCACUUUAUUUCAACACUUUAGCUCCAAAUGUAAUGAUCUAAAUAUGCUUUCUGAUCGUGUCAACAAUAGAAACAUUAGAAACAUAACGACGGAAUCCGUUAUAGAUUUUGGAUAAUUUUAUGUGCCAACAGUACCAUUACAUUAUCACAGUCUUUUGUCCUUUUUUCCUAUAAACGGCUGACUUUUCCAUCUUAAAACCCCAAUAAGCACCCAACCACACGCUAAAACCAGCUUAUUUAACUCGUACCAUAUUUACCCAAGGAAAUCAUAUUUAGGCACUGCUAUAUAUACCACCCAACUAACCGUGCUUAUACAUUCUCUAUUCUUUCCACCCCAAGAGUGUUGAUCACCAAUUUACCAUACAUUGCCAUUCAAAAAAAUUUACCAGAUAUCCCCCUUGAGCUGGAGCGUGUUGUUGAUCACUGUGAAUAUGCUCCCUCAGGUAGAGCCACUGGCCUCAGCUCGCCACCACGGAGGAAGCUGGAGUACCACUUGGCCGAGUGCCUCUGAUACCUUGUCCUUGCCGUCGAGUUGAAUUCAACGCCACAGACACCGAACCGGAGGCGGUAGCCGAACAGGUACUCGAACACGUCCAGGAAUGACCACACGAAGUAACCUUGCACGUUUGAUCCGUUCCUGUGAACAAUUGAGAUCAGUGUGUGAUAAGGUUUCAGUCUUUCAGAGCAAACAAUGGCACCAAUUUCAGAUAGCUUAUGGUAUCAAUUUGAGAAGGUAGCAUGCAUGACCAUCAAUUGCAAAGAUGAAUGCUAGUAGUUGCUGUACCUGAUGGAUUGAAGCGUGGCUUCGAUGUAAUCUUGGAGAUAUUGUGACCUGAAUUCGUCAUCGUAGGUGUUCACGCCGGAUGGAUCAGGCUGUCCAGCAGCUCCUGAAGUGACCACGAUGAAUGUGACACAAGCUCGAGUAGUCCAUUUCUUGGGACAACAUAUACUUUAGGGUAUCGUUAGUGGCAAGUUACCGUUUUCAUGGAUCAUCACUGCAGGGUUCUUGUAUUUCACUUGGAGAUGCUUCAGCAUUUUCUUGAGAGCCCAGGGGGUGGGCGUCGUAAAAUCAGCCGUCAACCCCAACCCGAACGGGAACUGGUUCCUUGACUUGAGGAACGGCACUGCAAAACAAACUAGGUCGUCAUUCGUUGUUCCAAUUGUAUUCGGGAGCAUGAUCGCUAAAAGUAAAGGCCCUAAGGUUCUUACUGUCAUAUGCCACAGCUGCAUCAGCCAUGUAAUCUCUCACUUUCUCAUCUAGUCGGCUAAGAUCAGCUUUCACGUAGACGGCAACAUAGUGGUUGAAUCCGACAAAAUCAAAAGAUCCCUUUACCCUUUUUGCCUCUUCAUUCGUGAAGGAUGGCAGUCUGGACCCAACAUUCUUCCUCAUCACUGGAGGGUAGUCUCCAUACACCAUAGGAUGCAUGAACCUGCAUUAUUUGAACCCAUGUUUUACAUGUACUUUACACAAGAUUUUGUUUGUAUGAGACUUGAGAUUUAGAGUGGGCCAAACCAUCCAACGUGGAAAUCAUUCAUCCUUGCAGCUGCUGCAAUAUCAUCGGGAGUCUCCGUUGCAGGCUCAUACCACCAACCAAGCAAGGUUAGUCCAAUUCGUCCUCCUUGCUCAGCCUGAUCAGUGAGGAACAAAUAAAGUAUCACAUCUGCAAAAAUGCUUCAUCCUGAAUGAGAGUUCUGCUGGGAAGGUAUUGCAGUAGCUCAAACCUGGUACUUCUCUCUAUAUAGGGACACUGCAGAUGCAUGCGCAAGUACAAGGUGGUGUGCUGCUAUGUACGGUUCUGUGGUGGAGUUGCCUUCAUCACAACCGAAGCCGAAGGGGGCUGAGCAUCGCUGUGGUGGUAGG